rnacentral:rRNA from 1 species
GAUGAAUGCUGGCGGCGUGCCUAACACAUGCAAGUCGAGCGGCAGCGCAGGUAGUUUACUACCUGGCGGCGAGCGGCGGACGGCUGAGUAACGCGUGGGAACAUGCCCCAAAGUGAGGAAUAACUGCCCGAAAGGGUAGCUAAUGCCGCAUAUGGUCUUCGGAUUAAAGGAUUUAUCCGCUUUGGGAGUGGCCUGCGUACGAUUAGAUAGUUGGUGAGGUAAUGGCUCACCAAGUCGACGAUCGUUAACUGGUCUGAGAGGAUGAUCAGUCAGACUGGAACUGAGACACGGUCCAGACUCCUACGGGAGGCAGCAGUGAGGAAUCUUCCACAAUGGGCGAAAGCCUGAUGGAGCAACGCCGCGUGAGUGAUGACGGCCUUCGGGUUGUAAACCUCUUUUAGUAGGGAAGAAGCGAAAGUGACGGUACCUGCAGAAAAAGCACCGGCUAACUACGUGCCAGCAGCCGCAGUA